GAUGAACGCGGCGGCGUGCUUAACACAUGCAAGUCGAACGAUAAAGCCCAGCUUGCUGGGUGGAUUAGUGGCGAACGGGUGAGUAACACGUGAGUAACCUGCCCUUGACUCUGGGAUAAGCCCGGGAAACUGGGUCUAAUACCGGAUAGGAGCGCCUGUCGCAUGACGGGUGUUGGAAAGAUUUUUCGGUCAUGGAUGGACUCGCGGCCUAUCAGCUUGUUGGUGAGGUAAUGGCUCACCAAGGCGACGACGGGUAGCCGGCCUGAGAGGGUGACCGGCCACACUGGGACUGAGACACGGCCCAGACUCCUACGGGAGGCAGCAGUGGGGAAUAUUGCACAAUGGGCGGAAGCCUGAUGCAGCGACGCCGCGUGAGGGAUGACGGCCUUCGGGUUGUAAACCUCUUUCAGUAGGGAAGAAGCGAAAGUGACGUACCUGCAGAAGA
rnacentral:rRNA from 1 species